GGGCUACAGGAAGGAACUCUAGUUACUCCCUAGAGAGGAGGGGACUUGGUAAGAGAGAAGGAGGUGCUCUACGGAGACACAUAGGGAAAUACGAUCACCUCGUCUGGAGGGACAUUGAUGCCGUGGAAGGAGGCGGGGGACCAUAGUGACAUUGCAGAAGGGCCAAGUGAUGAGGAGAGAGAGAGCGGGCUCACAGCACUUAAUCAAAGGAGAGCUGCAUCCAGGCCCGGAAAUGGCACUGGAAGGUUUCCUAGCGUAUCCCUGGAAUGUCCCCCUCAGCUAUCCUGGAGGGACGACCACUAGUAGGAAGAAAGUAGUUCUCAUUUUCAGUACUUGGUAGCUAAGCUGAAAAUGAUCAAAUAAGAACCUUAUGACCAGAGCCGGCUCCAGUGUUUUUGCUGCCCCAAGCGGCGGGGGGAAAAUAAAAAGCUGCGAUAUGCGGCAGCUCCACCGCCGCCACUUCGUUCUUCAGCAGCAAUUCGGCAGCCGGUCCUUCCGUCCGAGAGGGACUGAGGAAUCCACCCCUGAAGAGUCGGACAUGCCGCCCCUCUCCGUUGGCCGCCCCAAGCACCUACUUGUUGCGCUGGUGCCUGGAGUUGGCCCUGCUUAUGACAGUGGCUUGGGCAAUGUUACCAUUUUUGGAAUUAAAAAAAAAAAGAAGCAAAAUUGAACUCACAGGUGGG